rnacentral:rRNA from 1 species
AACGAACGCUGGCGGCACGCCUAACACAUGCAAGUCGAACGAAGCAUAAGAGCUUGCUCUUAUGACUGAGUGGCGCACGGGUGAGUAACACGUGGGAAUCUGCCUAUUGGUGGGGAAUAACUUUUGGAAACGAAAGCUAAUACCGCAUAAGCCCUAAGGGGGAAAGAUUUAUCGCCAAUAGAUGAGCCCGCGCUAGAUUAGCUAGUUGGUGAGGUAAGAGCUCACCAAGGCUACGAUCUAUAGCUGGUCUGAGAGGAUGGUCAGCCACACUGGGACUGAGACACGGCCCAGACUCCGACGGGAGGCAGCAGUGGGGAAUAUUGGACAAUGGGGAAACCCUGAUCCAGCGAUGCCGCGUGAGUGAAGAAGGCCUUCGGGUUGUAAAGCUCUUUCAGAGGGGAUGAUAAUGACGGUACCCUCAGAAAAAGCACCGGCUAACUUCGUGCCAGCCGCCGCCGUAA